AUUCUGCCCAUGCGGGGAAGGACGAGAAGCUUCGACCAAGGUUCGACUCGAGCGUCAGCGAGAGAGCGUUGCCGCAGGCAACGACCCGUAGGGCGAAGCGCGCAGCGCUGAGUAAUCCUUCCCCCCACCACCA
rnacentral:sRNA from 1 species